rnacentral:rRNA from 1 species
GGGGAAUAUUGCGCAAUGGGGGAAACCCUGACGCAGCAAUACCGCGUGAAUGAAGAAGGUCUUCGGAUCGUAAAGUUCUGUUAUUGGGGAAGAAAAAGACGGUACCCAAGGAGAAAGUUCCGGCUAACUACGUGCCAGCAGCCGCGGUAAUACGUAGGGAACAAGCGUUGUCCGGAUUUACUGGGCGUAAAGGGCACGCAGGCGGUUUUUUAAGUCAGAUGUGAAAGGUACCGGCUCAACCGGUGACAUGCAUUUGAAACUGAAAGACUUGAGUAUUGGAGAGGCAAGUGGAAUUCCUAGUGUAGCGGUGAAAUGCGUAGAGAUUAGGAGGAACACCAGUGGCGAAGGCGGCUUGCUGGACAAAUACUGACGCUGAGGUGCGAAAGCGUGGGGAGCAAAC